AGUGAACGCUGGCGGUAGGCCUAACACAUGCAAGUCGAACGGCAGCACAGUAAGAGCUUGCUCUUACGGGUGGCGAGUGGCGGACGGGUGAGGAAUACAUCGGAAUCUACUUUUUCGUGGGGGAUAACGUAGGGAAACUUACGCUAAUACCGCAUACGACUUACGGGUGAAAGCAGGGGAUCUUCGGACCUUGCGCGAUUGAAUGAGCCGAUGUCGGAUUAGCUAGUUGGCGGGGUAAAGGCCCACCAAGGCGACGAUCCGUAGCUGGUCUGAGAGGAUGAUCAGCCACACUGGAACUGAGACACGGUCCAGACUCCUACGGGAGGCAGCAGUGGGGAAUAUUGGACAAUGGGCGCAAGCCUGAUCCAGCCAUACCGCGUGGGUGAAGAAGGCCUUCGGGUUGUAAAGCCCUUUGUUGGGAAAGAAAAGCAGCAGGUUAAUACCCCGCUGUUCUGACGGUACCCAAAGAAUAAGCACCGGCUAACUUCGUG
rnacentral:rRNA from 1 species